rnacentral:rRNA from 1 species
AACGAACGCUGGCGGCAUGCCUAACACAUGCAAGUCGAACGAGAUCUUCGGGUCUAGUGGCGCACGGGUGCGUAACGCGUGGGAAUCUGCCCUUUGGUUCGGAAUAACAGUUGGAAACGACUGCUAAUACCGGAUGAUGACGAAAGUCCAUAGAUUUAUCGCCAGAGGAUGAGCCCGCGUAGGAUUAGCUAGUUGGUGUGGUAAAGGCGCACCAAGGCGACGAUCCUUAGCUGGUCUGAGAGGAUGAUCAGCCACACUGGGACUGAGACACGGCCCAGACUCCUACGGGAGGCAGCAGUGGGGAAUAUUGGACAAUGGGCGAAAGCCUGAUCCAGCAAUGCCGCGUGAGUGAUGAAGGCCUUAGGGUUGUAAAGCUCUUUUACCCGGGAUGAUAAUGACAGUACCGGGAGAAUAGGCUCCGGCUAACUCCGUGCCAGCCGCCGCAGUAA